UCCAGACUCCUACGGGAGGCAGCAGUGGGGAAUAUUGCGCAAUGGGGGCAACCCUGACGCAGCAACGCCGCGUGAUUGAAGAAGGUCUUCGGGUUGUAAAGAUCUUUAAUCAGGGACGAAAAAUGACGGUACCUGAAGAAUAAGCUCCGGCUAACUACGUGCCAGCAGCCGCGGUAAUACGUAGGGAGCAAGCGUUAUCCGGAUUUACUGGGUGUAAAGGGCGUGUAGGCGGGCCUGUAAGUCAGAAGUGAAAUCUGGGGGCUUAACCCCCAAACUGCUUUUGAAACUGCGGGUCUUGAGUGAUGGAGAGGCAGGCGGAAUUCCCAGUGUAGCGGUGAAAUGCGUAGAUAUUGGGAGGAACACCAGUGGCGAAGGCGGCCUGCUGGACAUUAACUGACGCUGAGGCGCGAAAGCGUGGGGAGCAAACAGGAUUAGAUACCCGAGUAA
rnacentral:rRNA from 1 species